ACCACCUUACUUGAACGAACAGGAUCUGUUCUAUAGGAUCGUACUACCGUGUCCUUGAUUUCUAAGGAGACAGAAACAUAAAAAUCUCCAUGAACUUCUUAAAUUGACCUUCAUUUU
rnacentral:snoRNA from 1 species